CUGUACUUUUUUCCCCCACUCCGCCCAUAUCGGGCAGUCCGAUGGUCAGUCCAUGCCUGAUACUGAGGCACGUCUCAUUGUUACAGGGGUACCACAGUAAAAGGGCUCUGGCAACGCCUAAGCACUGUAGCCUUUUUAAAGGUACAGUGUGGAAAAUGUAGUACCACCUAAUGGUGAACUAAUAGAAUGCAAUGACCUAAACUCGGAUUUUGAAGCACACGCACGACGAUGCCUCAGAGAGAUCACACUUGGUCAGCGUACCACCAAUUUCUUCAGCAGAGGUGCAAGCAAAAUGUCAUCCCCAACGACUUCUAAUAUUUCCUCAAGUGACUAAAUUAAUGCACAGACACUA